UCUAUGUGGAUGCUGAUAAAGUGAGCAGAAAAUGUCCAUCAUAGCCUUCUCCCUCUAGAUGUUUACAGCCUGAAGACUGCUACCCUACAGACUAGCUAACCUGCCUCCUUAAUCUAACUGUAUACCAGAAACCUCCCUGGUUCAGCCGUAAGCAAUAAUCUUGCCUCCAGUCUAACUAUGUAUAAUAGACCCACUGAGUUUCCUGGGUACUGUGGCUUCUCCAUUGGAGAGCCUAGUCAGCUCAAAUCCAGAUCUUCUGUGUCUGUUUGUCUUUUAUUUUCCAUCCCUUCAGUUCCCCUAUAAGAGCUGACCCUGGACCUGUGCAGGAUGAAACAGACAAAAAUACAUCUCCUACUUUAGGAGGCAUCCCCAGAGUAGGCUGGACCUGAAAGGUGUUCUUGUCUCUGAUGGAGAUUGGAGAAUCACUGCAGGCCAAUUUGCAUUUGGAAGAUUGGAGCAACAAGAUUUGAAGGAAGUUGUAUAAAUUUGUCUGCACUGGUACUCACACAGAAGAAUAUGCUUAUUGCUCUAAUCUGGCACAAAAGAGAGUUACUCUGACUUAAUAAAUUGCUUCAACUG
rnacentral:lncRNA from 1 species